rnacentral:rRNA from 1 species
CCUACGGGAGGCAGCAGUGGGGAAUUUUCCGCAAUGGGCGAAAGCCUGACGGAGCAACGCCGCGUGAGGGAUGAAGGCCUCUGGGCUGUAAACCUCUUUUAUCAAGGAAGAAGAUCUGACGGUACUUGAUGAAUAAGCCACGGCUAAUUCCGUGCCAGCAGCCGCGGUAAUACGGGAGUGGCAAGCGUUAUCCGGAAUUAUUGGGCGUAAAGCGUCCGCAGGCGGUCUUGUAAGUCUGUCGUUAAAGCGUGGAGCUCAACUCCAUUUCGGCGGUGGAAACUACAAGACUAGAGUGUGGUAGGGGCAGAGGGAAUUCCCGGUGUAGCGGUGAAAUGCGUAGAUAUCGGGAAGAACACCAGUGGCGAAGGCGCUCUGCUGGGCCAUAACUGACGCUCAUGGACGAAAGCUAGGGGAGCGAAAGGGAUUAGAUACCCCUGUAGUCCUAGCCGUAAACGAUGAACACUAGGUGUCGGGGGAAUCGACCCCCUCGGUGUCGUAGCUAACGCGUUAAGUGUUCCGCCUGGGGAGUACGCACGCAAGUGUGAAACUCAAAUGAAUUGACGGCNGAGACGUGCCGAACGACGACGACGAGGGAGUAGG